GAAAGGAAAACCCUGGAUGGAGAAGCUAGGGGUGUUCCCCCUGCAACUGGCCCUAGGAAGGCCAGUAGACUGAGGCUCUCUGGGGAUCCUACUGGAAUCCAGGAAGUGGGUGGGCUACUAAAGAACCUCCCCCACAUCCUAAGGGGAGUAUCCACAGGUCUGGGAUUCCAAGUGAGUUCUGGGGAAUGGGAGGCAGCAAGGGAAUCCUGCUGGAGAAAAAAGCAAGAUGAGACAAGCUCUGUAGGGACAAAGGGAAUAGGCCAAGAAACAGGGCUUUGGUGGAGCCUGAGAAGAGCAGAAGGAUUAUUAGUUUAGGUAUUUGAUUUUGGACUUUGAGUUGAACCUUGAGUUACCCCAGAGGGGGGUUGAACUGCAUGUGAUUUGGCUGAAGAGCUAAGCUGUAGAAGAUUUGGAAUCGGGGAUAGAUGGCCAGCAGGAGGCACUGGAUCUGAAGAUACUGGCCACAUUAUGUAUGGGAGCUCCAAGGCCUGCUGGGGCCAGGAGGGCCAUGGAGGCAGUUUGCUCGGGCUCUGCGGGCAGGAAGGCGCACCCAAGGUUGUUGGUCCCAUUUCAGCACAGAUGGACAGAAGGGUGCUCACCCACAACAGGAGAGUUGAUGAUUUGAAGGGAUUUGUUGCAUCAGACAAGCACAGCUUUGAGUGGAACCAAACUGCUCCCAAGGCAAGGACAUCAAGAGGCAGGUCCUUCCCUCUCCUAGCUCUCUAAUGGGCAGGCUGAAUCUGAGGAUGGUGAAGGCUGCUCCUCAGGUGUGGCUGGCCCAUUGUCUGGGCUGCUGUGGGGAGGGGUUUGGAACCAUUAUCCUGCCUCCUCCACAUCCCCCCCUGCCCCUCUUGGAGUGAAGUUUAUCAAGGAGGAUACAUGGGUGGGAAAGCAUUUGAGAUUCCCAAGCAUGGGGACCUCAAAGAUGACCAGCCUUUAUGUGUGGAGUAAAAUUGGAGGGAAGGGUGUUUGCAAGGCUCGAACCAGCCCUAAAUGUCAAACUCACUAGGCUUGAUUCUCAUCUCACCUGCACUGGUGUAAAAUGGAAGCAAUUCUGUUGGAGGCAGUGGGGUUACACACAUAUAAAACUGGCGUGAACAAGAGGAGAAUCAGGCCUAUUAUCUCCACAGAGUUAUAGAAGAGGUGGAGGUGGAAAGGACUCAUUUGAGUAGACUUGCCCUGGUAAAAACCUCUCUCUCCUGAUCUUUGUACCAUACUCAUCACCAAAGAGGGGGAUGGAGGGGAGAGGAAGAAGAGCCGGGCAGUGGAAAUGGACAGGAAAGAGGACCAUAGUGGAUGGAGAAAGGGAUGGGAAACUGGCAAUAGAGGGGAGACAUUGGGACACGAAGGUGAAAGGAGGAGAAAACACCGAAGAUGAUAAUGAUCCCUCCCUCUCUGACACUAACACACUAUAUUCACAGCCAGCUGUUUAACUUGUAUCUGUUCCUGCUACUCAGAAAUGUUUUAAAAUCCCGGAAUGAAUCUGGUUCUCCUUUGUACGUACACCCUGUAUCCCCCACACAUGGGGGCUUCCGCAUGGCAGUGGGGGACCAUAAUAGGCCAGGUGGCAGAAGAUGGGUUUCAAAGAGACCAAGCCUUAUUUUACUACAAGUGGGAGGCCUGGCUUAGAGAAGUGGCUGCCAGCUCAGUUACCUCCAAGGAGCUCAUCCCCUUCCUUAACGCCCAGCACCUUGCACCAGUUCGGUCAACCAGUACUGAUGAGGUUACUCUCAAGUCUGGUUGCAGUUUCAUUGUGUGACUUGAAAACUCCUUAAGGGUUGAAGCAGCUACCCUGUUUGGGACCUGCUCCUGCUUCCACCAAAGCCAUAAAGAGACUUGUCCUUGAUUUCUGUGGGAGUAUUUUGUUUCCGCAAGGUGCUCAUCUAAAGGUGUAAGGAACCCUAUGCUUGGUCAGGCCCAUGGCAUGCUGGGCCACAGCCUCAGCUAGUGAUAAAACUACCCCAGUUUACCCCAGCUGAGGAUAUGGCCCAUAGCUUUUAAUUUUUAGGGGGGACAUUAUUUCAUUUGGAGGUGACAUCUGCACAUUCGCUGUUGAAAACCAGGGUAAGGCGAUGAUGCAGAUGGGGAGGGGACCAAAGGCCAGAAGGAAUGAAGAGAAGAGAGGAUCAGACUGGGAAGGAUGAGUGGCGGUGGGAAAGGACUAAAAUGGAGACUGGUUGGAAGGAGAAUAAGGGUGAUGGAGUAGAAAUAGAGGGGAGAGAGAAAGCGAGGGAGGAGAAAGAGGAGGGAGACAGGCAAUGGAGACAUUAGGACACAAUGCCAAAGAGGGGAGGAAGAAAACAGUGACUGCUUGUUGUGGUUUCACAUUCCAAAGCCUUCAGCCAUCCCUUCCCCGUGCGCACGCGGGCUGUCCUGCUCAGACCACGCAUGAUUGCUGGCAGUCGCUGCUCUUCCAAACAGCACAUCUUGAAGGGGCAUUCAUCCCAAAAGAAAGGGCUGAUUGAUUAACAAAUGCAACAAGGACUCACUGAACAGGACCAUCUGGGGAAUCCAAAGGGUGGCGCAAUUAGUAGCGUGCUGAAUAUGUGAGGAGCUGGGCUGAGUAAACAUGAUAUGGACACUUCCAUCGUUACCCAGCUGGCUGGAGCUGCUUUCAGCAGAGAUGGGGCUGUACGUUGUGACAACAGAUGCUUAUGCAAUAAAGACUCCCUCUCUCC